UGAUCUGACAGGAGGCAGAGCUCAGGUGAUA
rnacentral:piRNA from 1 species